UAGGUUAAAAAUGACAUAAAAAUGUUAAAAGUCACUUCCUCAGGCAUAUUAGUCACAUGGCUGCUGACUGUUGUAUGUGACUGCAUCCCUAGAGGCUGUGGUUGCAGGACACUAGUUAUAUCAUUUUAGACUUUAUUACAAAGAAUACAGCAUAUAAUCAAAAAGACUUUCAGGCUAGAGAUGAAUUUGUGGAGGCAAAAGUAGCAAGGGGUAUUGAUUUUCUGAGCCUGUGGCCUUGUGUGUGGCUCACCAGUGCAGCACGUCCCGAGAGAUGGGUUGACAGCGACUCCACCUUGUGCAGCCCUCACGGAGAGUGAAGUGGUGGUGGCACACAAGGUGGUCACUCAUGGAGCCACUGUGGUCUUCACUCACCACAGUGUCAUUAUGCAUAGUAAAAGGUUCCAGUGUUUCUAGUUGAAGGUGAAAAGACAUACAACGCAACUGAAAUUACUUACGGAACACAGGGGCGAGAGGUGAAGACUGCUGUCUUAAGAGUACUUAAAAGCUUUCUUCAGGGGAUUCUCACAUUGCAUCAUUUCUCCUUUCAGAGAAAGAAGCGUCCAGAGGAAUACUUUGAGCAUGAUCCUGAACCCAGCUGUAUUUACAGCUUUGUUGCCUUUAUUUUUUAUGUUGCAGUGUUACCAACUGAAUGCGCAAUAAUAACUCUGGUCUACUUAGAAAGGCUUGUGUCAUACGCUGAGAUAGACGUCUGUCCUGCUAACUGGAGAAGGAUCCUGCUGGGAGCCAUUCUUCUUGCCAUCAAGGUUUGGCAGGACCAGGCUGGGUGGAACAUAGACUUCUGCAGCAUCAUCGGGGAUGUUUUGCUCAAGGACAGAAAUGAGUUGGAAAGUCAUUACUUGAUCCUGCUCAAGAAUAAUGUUGAUGUGUCUCGCGGUGUGUAUGCCAAAUACUACUUUGAUCUUCGCUCUUUAGCAUUUGAAAGCAACAUGUAUUUGGGGGUUGAGCCUCUCCCCA